rnacentral:rRNA from 1 species
UACGGAGGGUGCAAGCGUUAUCCGGAUUCACUGGGUUUAAAGGGUGCGUAGGCGGCCUGUUAAGUCAGGGGUGAAAGACGGUAGCUCAACUAUCGCAGUGCCCUUGAUACUGAUGGGCUUGAAUGGACUAGAGGUAGGCGGAAUGUGACAAGUAGCGGUGAAAUGCAUAGAUAUGUCACAGAACACCGAUUGCGAAGGCAGCUUACUAUGGUCUUAUUGACGCUGAGGCACGAAAGCGUGGGGAUCAAACAGG